rnacentral:rRNA from 1 species
CCUACGGGUGGCUGCAGUGGGGAAUUUUGCGCAAUGCUCGUAAGCGUGACGCAGCGACGCCGCGUGAAUGACGAAGGCCUUCGGGUCGUUAAGUUCUUUCGACAGGGAAGAAAAUUCCUAUAAGUAACUGUUUCUGUAUUGACGUUACCUGUAUAAGCAGCCCCGGCUCACUCCGUGCCAGCAGCCGCGGUAAUACGGAGGGGGCGAGCGUUGUUCGGAGUGACUGGGCGUAAAGCGCUCGUGGGCGGUAUGUCAAGUCAAGGGUGAAAUCCCCGCGCUCAACGUGGGAACUGCCUUUGAAACUGGCAAACUGGAGUGUGUGAGAGGAUAGUGGAAUUCCAGGUGUAGGAGUGAAAUCCGUAGAUAUCUGGAGGAACAUCAGUGGCGAAGGCGACUAUCUGGAACAUAACUGACGCUGAGGAGCGAAAGCGUGGGUAGCAAACAGGAUUAGAUACCCCAGUAGUC